UACAGAGGGGGCAAGCGUUGUUCGGAAUUACUGGGCGUAAAGGGCGCGUAGCGGCCGCCUAAGUCAGACGUGAAAUCCCUCGGCUUAACCGAGGAACUGCCUGCCAGACUGGAUGGCUCGAGACCGGGAGAGGUGAGUGGAAUUCCCAGUGUAGCGGUGAAAUGCGUAGAUAUUGGGAGGAACACCAGUGGCGAAGGCGGACUCACUGGACCGGAACUGACGCUGAGGCGCGAAAGCGUGGGGAGCAAAGC
rnacentral:rRNA from 1 species